GCAGUCGAGCGGACAGAUGGGAGCUUGCUCCCUGAUGUUAGCGGCGGACGGGUGAGUAACACGUGGGUAACCUGCCUGUAAGACUGGGAUAACUCCGGGAAACCGGGGCUAAUACCGGAUGCUUGUUUGAACCGCAUGGUUCAGACAUAAAAGGUGGCUUCGGCUACCACUUACAGAUGGACCCGCGGCGCAUUAGCUAGUUGGUGAGGUAACGGCUCACCAAGGCGACGAUGCGUAGCCGACCUGAGAGGGUGAUCGGCCACACUGGGACUGAGACACGGCCCAGACUCCUACGGGAGGCAGCAGUAGGGAAUCUUCCGCAAUGGACGAAAGUCUGACGGAGCAACGCCGCGUGAGUGAUGAAGGUUUUCGGAUCGUAAAGCUCUGUUGUUAGGGAAGAACAAGUGCCGUUCAAAUAGGGCGGCACCUUGACGGUACCUAACCAGAAAGCCACGGCUAACUACGUGCCAGCAGCCGCGGUAAUACGUAGGUGGCAAGCGUUGUCCGGAAUUAUUGGGCGUAAAGGGCUCGCAGGCGGUUUCUUAAGUCUGAUGUGAAAGCCCCCGGCUCAACCGGGGAGGGUCAUUGGAAACUGGGGAACUUGAGUGCAGAAGAGGAGAGUGGAAUUCCACGUGUAGCGGUGAAAUGCGUAGAGAUGUGGAGGAACACCAGUGGCGAAGGCGACUCUCUGGUCUGUAACUGACGCUGAGGAGCGAAAGCGUGGGGGAGCGAACAGGAUUAGAUACCCUGGUAGUCCACGCCGUAACGAUGAGUGCUAAGUGUUAGGGGUUUCCGCCCCUUAGUGCUGCAGCUAACGCAUUAGGCACUCCGCCUGGGGGAGUACGGUCGCAAGACUGAAACUCAAGGAAUUGACGGGGGCCCGCACAAGCG
rnacentral:rRNA from 1 species